CAGGCUUAACACAUGCAAGUCGAGGGGCAGCAUGGUCUUAGCUUGCUAAGGCCGAUGGCGACCGGCGCACGGGUGAGUAACACGUAUCCAACCUGCCGUCUACUCUUGGACAGCCUUCUGAAAGGAAGAUUAAUACAAGAUGGCAUCAUGAGUCCGCAUGUUCACAUGAUUAAAGGUAUUCCGGUAGACGAUGGGGAUGCGUUCCAUUAGAUAGUAGGCGGGGUAACGGCCCACCUAGUCUUCGAUGGAUAGGGGUUCUGAGAGGAAGGUCCCCCACAUUGGAACUGAGACACGGUCCAAACUCCUACGGGAGGCAGCAGUGAGGAAUAUUGGUCAAUGGGCGAGAGCCUGAACCAGCCAAGUAGCGUGAAGGAUGACUGCCCUAUGGGUUGUAAACUUCUUUUAUAAAGGAAUAAAGUCGGGUAUGGAUACCCGUUUGCAUGUACUUUAUGAAUAAGGAUCGGCUAACUCCGUGCCAGCAGCCGCGGUAAUACGGAGGAUCCGAGCGUUAUCCGGAUUUAUUGGGUUUAAAGGGAGCGUAGAUGGAUGUUUAAGUCAGUUGUGAAAGUUUGCGGCUCAACCGUAAAAUUGCAGUUGAUACUGGAUAUCUUGAGUGCAGUUGAGGCAGGCGGAAUUCGUGGUGUAGCGGUGAAAUGCUUAGAUAUCACGAAGAACUCCGAUUGCGAAGGCAGCCUGCUAAGCUGCAACUGACAUUGAGGCUCGAAAGUGUGGGUAUCAAACAGGAUUAGAUACCCUGGUAGUCCACACGGUAAACGAUGAAUACUCGCUGUUUGCGAUAUACAGCAAGCGGCCAAGCGAAAGCGUUAAGUAUUCCACCUGGGGAGUACGCCGGCAACGGUGAAACUCAAAGGAAUUGACGGGGGCCCGCACAAGCGGAGGAACAUGUGGUUUAAUUCGAUGAUACGCGAGGAACCUUACCCGGGCUUAAAUUGCAGAUGAAUUACGGUGAAAGCCGUAAGCCGCAAGGCAUCUGUGAAGGUGCUGCAUGGUUGUCGUCAGCUCGUGCCGUGAGGUGUCGGCUUAAGUGCCAUAACGAGCGCAACCCUUGUUGUCAGUUACUAACAGGUUCCGCUGAGGACUCUGACAAGACUGCCAUCGUAAGAUGUGAGGAAGGUGGGGAUGACGUCAAAUCAGCACGGCCCUUACGUCCGGGGCUACACACGUGUUACAAUGGGGGGUACAGAGGGCCGCUACCACGCGAGUGGAUGCCAAUCCCCAAAACCUCUCUCAGUUCGGACUGGAGUCUGCAACCCGACUCCACGAAGCUGGAUUCGCUAGUAAUCGCGCAUCAGCCACGGCGCGGUGAAUACGUUCCCGGGCCUUGUACACACCGCCCGUCAAGCCAUGGGAGCCGGGGGUACCUGAAGUGCGUAACCGCGAGGAGCGCCCUAGGGUAAAACUGGUGACUGGGGCUAAGUCGUA
rnacentral:rRNA from 1 species